rnacentral:rRNA from 1 species
UACGAAGGGGGCUAGCGUUGCUCGGAAUUACUGGGCGUAAAGGGCGCGUAGGCGGCACUGUUAGUCAGGCGUGAAAUUCCUGGGCUCAACCUGGGGACUGCGCUUGAUACGGCAGAGCUUGAGGAUGGAAGAGGGUCGCGGAAUUCCCAGUGUAGAGGUGAAAUUCGUAGAUAUUGGGAAGAACACCGGUGGCGAAGGCGAGACUCUGGACAGUUCCUGACGCUGAGGCACGAAGGCCAGGGGAGCAAACGGG